rfam:Nematostella vectensis strain CH2 x CH6 NEMVEscaffold_231_Cont19841, whole genome shotgun sequence.
GCCAGGUUAUCUCAGAUGGUAGAGCAUCAGACUUUUAAUCUGAGGGUCAUGGGUUCGAGCCCCAUAUCGGGCG